rnacentral:rRNA from 1 species
GAUGAACGCUGGCGGCGUGCCUAAUACAUGCAAGUCGAGCGAACAGACGAGGAGCUUGCUCCUCUGACGUUAGCGGCGGACGGGUGAGUAACACGUGGAUAACCUACCUAUAAGACUGGGAUAACUUCGGGAAACCGGAGCUAAUACCGGAUAAUAUAUUGAACCGCAUGGUUCAAUAGUGAAAGACGGUUUUGCUGUCACUUAUAGAUGGAUCCGCGCCGCAUUAGCUAGUUGGUAAGGUAACGGCUUACCAAGGCAACGAUGCGUAGCCGACCUGAGAGGGGGAUCGGCCACACUGGAACUGAGACACGGUCCAGACUCCUACGGGAGGCAGCAGUAGGGAAUCUUCCGCAAUGGGCGAAAGCCUGACGGAGCAACGCCGCGUGAGUGAUGAAGGUCUUCGGAUCGUAAAACUCCGUUAUUAGGGAAGAACAAAUGUGUAAGUAACUAUGCACGUCUUGACGGUACCUAAUCAGAAAGCCACGGCUAACUACGUG